GCAGGCUACCAUGCAAGUCGAGCGGUAGAGAGAAGCUUGCUUCUCUUGAGAGCGGCGGACGGGUGAGUAAUGCCUAGGAAUCUGCCUGGUAGUGGGGGAUAACGUUCGGAAACGGACGCUAAUACCGCAUACGUCCUACGGGAGAAAGCAGGGGACCUUCGGGCCUUGCGCUAUCAGAUGAGCCUAGGUCGGAUUAGCUAGUUGGUGAGGUAAUGGCUCACCAAGGCGACGAUCCGUAACUGGUCUGAGAGGAUGAUCAGUCACACUGGAACUGAGACACGGUCCAGACUCCUACGGGAGGCAGCAGUGGGGAAUAUUGGACAAUGGGCGAAAGCCUGAUCCAGCCAUGCCGCGUGUGUGAAGAAGGUCUUCGGAUUGUAAAGCACUUUAAGUUGGGAGGAAGGGUUGUAGAUUAAUACUCUGCAAUUUUGACGUUACCGACAGAAUAAGCACCGGCUAACUCUGUGCCAGCAGCCGCGGUAAUACAGAGGGUGCAAGCGUUAAUCGGAAUUACUGGGCGUAAAGCGCGCGUAGGUGGUUUGUUAAGUUGGAUGUGAAAUCCCCGGGCUCAACCUGGGAACUGCAUUCAAAACUGACUGACUAGAGUAUGGUAGAGGGUGGUGGAAUUUCCUGUGUAGCGGUGAAAUGCGUAGAUAUAGGAAGGAACACCAGUGGCGAAGGCGACCACCUGGACUAAUACUGACACUGAGGUGCGAAAGCGUGGGGAGCAAACAGGAUUAGAUACCCUGGUAGUCCACGCCGUAAACGAUGUCAACUAGCCGUUGGAAGCCUUGAGCUUUUAGUGGCGCAGCUAACGCAUUAAGUUGACCGCCUGGGGAGUACGGCCGCAAGGUUAAAACUCAAAUGAAUUGACGGGGGCCCGCACAAGCGGUGGAGCAUGUGGUUUAAUUCGAAGCAACGCGAAGAACCUUACCAGGCCUUGACAUCCAAUGAACUUUCUAGAGAUAGAUUGGUGCUUUCGGGAACAUUGAGACAGGUGCUGCAUGCUGUCGUCAGCUCGUGUCGUGAGAUGUUGGUAGUCCCGUACGAGCGCAAC
rnacentral:rRNA from 2 species